GUGCUUGCUUCAGCAGCACAUAUACUAAAAUUGGAAUGAUACAGAGAAGAUUAGCAUGGCCCCUGCACAAGGAUGACACACAAAUUCGUGAAGCGUUCCAUAUUUUU
rnacentral:snRNA from 1 species